rnacentral:rRNA from 1 species
GGAUGAACGCUAGCUACAGGCUUAACACAUGCAAGUCGAGGGGAAACGACAUCGAAAGCUUGCUUUUGAUGGGCGUCGACCGGCGCACGGGUGAGUAACGCGUAUCCAACCUGCCCAUCACUUGGGGAUAACCUUGCGAAAGUAAGACUAAUACCCAAUGACGUCUCUAGAAGACAUCUGAAAGAGAUUAAAGAUUUAUCGGUGAUGGAUGGGGAUGCGUCUGAUUAGCUUGUUGGCGGGGUAACGGCCCACCAAGGCGACGAUCAGUAGGGGUUCUGAGAGGAAGGUCCCCCACAUUGGAACUGAGACACGGUCCAAACUCCUACGGGAGGCAGCAGUGAGGAAUAUUGGUCAAUGGGCGAGAGCCUGAACCAGCCAAGUAGCGUGCAGGAAGACGGCCCUAUGGGUUGUAAACUGCUUUUAUAAGGGAAUAAAGUGAGUCUCGUGAGACUUUUUGCAUGUACCUUAUGAAUAAGGACCGGCUAAUUCCGUGCCAGCAGCCGCGGUAAUACGGAAGGUCCGGGCGUUAUCCGGAUUUAUUGGGUUUAAAGGGAGCGUAGGCCGGAGAUUAAGCGUGUUGUGAAAUGUAGACGCUCAACGUCUGCACUGCAGCGCGAACUGGUUUCCUUGAGUACGCACAAAGUGGGCGGAAUUCGUGGUGUAGCGGUGAAAUGCUUAGAUAUCACGAAGAACUCCGAUUGCGAAGGCAGCUCACUGGAGCGCAACUGACGCUGAAGCUCGAAAGUGCGGGUAUCGAACAGGAUUAGAUACCCUGGUAGUCCGCACGGUAAACGAUGGAUGCCCGCUGUUGGUCUGAAUAGGUCAGCGGCCAAGCGAAAGCAUUAAGCAUCCCACCUGGGGAGUACGCCGGCAACGGUGAAACUCAAAUGAAUUGACG